UACAGAGGGGGCAAGCGUUGUUCGGAAUUACUGGGCGUAAAGGGCUCGUAGGCGGCCAACUAAGUCAGACGUGAAAUCCCUCGGCUUAACCGGGGAACUGCGUCUGAUACUGGAUGGCUAGAGGUUGGGAGAGGGAUGCGGAAUUCCAGGUGUAGCGGUGAAAUGCGUAGAUAUCUGGAGGAACACCGGUGGCGAAGGCGGCAUCCUGGACCAUUAUUGACGCUGAGGAGCGAAAGCCAGGGGAGCAAACGGG
rnacentral:rRNA from 1 species